GGGGAUUUAACUCAGUGGUUCCAGUGCCUGCCUUGCAAGCACAAGGACCUGAGUUCGAUCCCCAGUACCCCCC
rnacentral:tRNA from 1 species